GGAGGAAAAGAAACUAACAAGGAUUCCCCUAGUAACGGCGAGUGAAGCGGGAAGAGCUCAAAUUUGAAAUCUGGUAGCCUUCGGUUGCCCGAGUUGUAAUCUAGAGAAGUGUUUUCCGUGCCGGCCCAUGUACAAGUCCCUUGGAACAGGGCGUCAUAGAGGGUGAGAAUCCCGUCCUUGACAUGGACCCCCGGUGCUUUGUGAUACACUUUCAACGAGUCGAGUUGUUUGGGAAUGCAGCUCAAAAUGGGUGGUGAAUUCCAUCUAAAGCUAAAUAUUGGCGAGAGACCGAUAGCGAACAAGUACCGUGAGGGAAAGAUGAAAAGCACUUUGGAAAGAGAGUUAAACAGUACGUGAAAUUGUUGAAAGGGAAACGAUUGAAGUCAGUCAUGCUCUUUGGUUUAAGCCGUUCUGCGGUGUAUAUCAUUGAGUGGGGUCAACAUCAGUUUUGAUCGAUGGAUAAAGGCACUAGGAAGGUAGCACUCUCGGGUGAACUUAUAGCCUGGCGUCAUAUACAUUGGUUGGGACUGAGGAACGCAGCAUGCCUUCGGGCCGGGAUUCGUCCACGUACAUGCUUAGGAUGUUGACAUAAUGGCUUUAAACGACCCGUCUUGAA
rnacentral:rRNA from 1 species